UACGUAGGGGGCAAGCGUUGUCCGGAAUCAUUGGGCGUAAAGCGCGUGUAGGCGGCCCGGUAAGUCCGCUGUGAAAGUCCAGGGCUCAACCCUGGAAUGCCGGUGGAUACUGUCGGGCUCGAGUCCGGAAGAGGCGAGUGGAAUUCCCGGUGUAGCGGUGAAAUGCGCAGAUAUCGGGAGGAACACCAAUGGCGAAGGCAGCUCGCUGGGACGGUACUGACGCUGAGGCGCGAAAGCGUGGGGAGCAAACAGG
rnacentral:rRNA from 1 species